rnacentral:rRNA from 1 species
CGCAUCUGUGCAUGCAGCAUAUCAAUAAGCGGAGGAAAAGAAACUAACAAGGAUUCCCCUAGUAACGGCGAGUGAAGCGGGAAGAGCUCAAAUUUGAAAUCUUAAAGGGUUUCCCUUUACGAAUUGUAGUUUAAAGAAGUGUUUUCUGUUGAGGUUUUGGUAAAAGUUCUUUGGAAUAGGACAUCAUAGAGGGUGAGAAUCCCGUAUUUGACCUUUACUUUCAACUUUGUGAUACACUUUCAAAGAGUCGGAUUGUCUGGGAAUGCAGUCCAAAAUGGGUGGUAAAUUUCAUCUAAAGCUAAAUAUUGGCGAGAGACCGAUAGCGAACAAGUACCGUGAGGGAAAGAUGAAAAGAACUUUGAAAAGAGAGUUAAACAGUACGUGAAAUUGUCAAAAGGGAAGCGUUUGACACCAGUGUUGUUUUUCUGAAAAUCAAUUAAAGAACUGUUUAUGCUAAGUUGUUUAGACUUUAUCAGCUAAUCUGUUUAGUUUUGAGCUUUUCUUUAAUGCACUUUUCAGUUAACAAGUCAACAUCAAUUUCUUUUGCUGUAAAAAAGCUUGAGGAAGGUGGCUUGAGAUUCGUCUUAAGUGUUUAUAGCCUCUUGCCUAUGCAGUCGGAGAGAUUGAGGUCUGCAGCGUAGAUCCUUCGGGGCUAAAUGCAUUUGUGCUAAGUUAUAGCAUUUUAUAGACAACUUGUUGACUAUGAUUUGUCUUGUAGCUUACUCGCUUAUGUUAUUUUACCUAGCUUAGGAUGUUGAACGCGCACAGAGUCUC